AUACGUAGGUGGCAAGCGUUGUCCGGAAUUAUUGGGCGUAAAGCGCAUGUAGGCGGUGCCUUAAGUCUGUCGUGAAACUGCGGGGCCUAACCCCGUAUGGCGAUGGAAACUGUGGCACUUGAGUGCAGGAGAGGAAAGGGGAACUCCCCGUGUAGCGGUGAAAUGCGUAGAUAUUGGGAAGAACACCGGUGGCGAAGGCGCCUUUCAGGACGGUGUCGGACGUGGAGAUGCGAAAGCCAGGGUAGCAAACGGGAUUAGAUACCCCGGUGGUCCAGGCCGUAAACGAUGGGUCCUAGGUGUGGGAGGUAUCGACCCCUUCCGUGCCGGAGUUAACGCAAUAAGUACCCCGCCUGGGGAGUACGGCCGCAAGGCGUAAACUCAAAUGAAUUGACGGGG
rnacentral:rRNA from 1 species